GGGGCUGUAGCUCAGUUGGCUAGAGCACCUGCUUUGCAAGCAGGGGGUCGUCGGUUCGAUUCCGAUCAGCUCCACGA
rnacentral:tRNA from 2 species